rnacentral:rRNA from 1 species
AUGGCGGAUGGGGACUCGUCCGACUUCACCUUCUGCAAGGUUGACUAUGCUGAAAAUGAUGGUCGUUUGGACUCCCCUAAUUCCAUGGCUGUGGCAAGUAUGACACUGGAGGAUGUUGCCGGUGAUGGUGAGACUAAGAAGGUUCAGGAUGACAAGCAAAUAGUCAAUCCAGUUACUGAUGAAAAAUCUAGUUCCAUAUCUAGUCACGCCAAUGGUGUAUCGCUUCGAGAGCCCAAUUUAAAAGAACCAGUUGUACCAACCAGUAGUGGAGAGUCUGUGCAGUCAAAUGUGGCUCAACCAAAACCUGUAAAGAAAUCUGCGGUACGGGCAAAGGUUCCUUUUGAGAAGGGAUUUAGCCCAAUGGACUGGCUUAAGCUGACUCGUACACAUCCAGAUCUGGCAGGGCUCAAGGGACAGUCAAAUCGGAGGUUAAUUUCUUUGGAAGAAGUUAAGCAGCAUAAAACUGGAGAUUGUAUCUGGACAGUUUUAAAAGGUCGUGUGUACAAUAUUGGUCCCUACAUGAAAUUUCAUCCUGGAGGAGUUGAUAUGCUUAUGAAGGGUGCUGGAAAAGACUGCACUGCUUUGUUCAAUAAAUACCAUGCCUGGGUGAACGCAGAGUUCCUCUUGGAGAAAUGCCUCGUGGGAUACCUUGAUCCCAAUGAGUAG